rnacentral:rRNA from 1 species
AGCGCGAAACUUCGCAAUGCGCGAAGCGUGACGAGGGAACCCCAAGUGCGGGCCAACAAGGUCUGCUUUUCUGGCGUGUAAAAAGCUCCAGGAAUAAGGGCUGGUCAAGACUGGUGCCAGCCUCCGCGGUAACACCAGCAGCUCUAGUGGUAGUCGUUUUUAUUGGGCUUAGAGCGUCCGUAGUCGGUUUGGCAAGUCUUCUGUGAAAUCCAUCGGCUUAACCGAUGGCCGUGCAGAAGAUACUACCAGGCUCGGAGCCGGGAAGGGCGAGGGGUAUUCCCUAGGUAGCGGUGAAAUGCUAUAAUCUUGGGAAGACCGCCGGUGGCGAAGGCGCCUCGCUGGAACGGGCUCGACGAUGAGGGACGAAAGCUAGGGGAGCGAAUCGGAUUAGAUACCCGAGUAGUCCUAGCCGUAAACGAUGCGGACUAAGUGUUGCGGAAACCUCGUGUUCCCGCAGUGCUGCAGGGAAACCGUUAAGUCCGCCGCCUGGGGAGUACGGUCGCAAGGCUGAAACUUAAAGGAAUUGGCGGGGGAGCAC